CCUACGGGAGGCAGCAGUGGGGAAUUUUGGACAAUGGGGGCAACCCUGAUCCAGCCAUUCCGCGUGAGUGAAGAAGGCCUUCGGGUUGUAAAGCUCUUUCGCAAGGGAAGAAAACUUAUGAUCGAAUAAAUCAUGAGGUUGACGGUACCUUGAUAAGAAGCACCGGCUAACUACGUGCCAGCAGCCGCGGUAAUACGUAGGGUGCGAGCGUUAAUCGGAAUUACUGGGCGUAAAGCGUGCGCAGGCGGUUUUGUAAGUCGGAUGUGAAAUCCCCGGGCUCAACCUGGGAACUGCGUUCGAAACUGCAAGGCUAGAGUGUGUCAGAGGGGGGUAGAAUUCCACGUGUAGCAGUGAAAUGCGUAGAGAUGUGGAGGAAUACCAAUGGCGAAGGCAGCCCCCUGGGAUAACACUGACGCUCAUGCACGAAAGCGUGGGGAGCAAACAGGAUUAGAUACCCUGGUAGUCCACGCCCUAAACGAUGUCAAACUAGUUGUUGGUAGAGUAAAAUCUAUGAGUAACCGUAGNUACGCGUGAGUAGACGCCGUCGGGAGGUACGGUCGCGAGAAGUAAACGUAACAACUAGUAAGUAGUAGACGUGAGAGAGCGACGACGACGACGAGGAGGAGGAG
rnacentral:rRNA from 1 species